rnacentral:rRNA from 1 species
AUUGAACGCUGGCGGCAUGCCUUACACAUGCAAGUCGAACGGUAACGGGCCUUCGGGUGCCGACGAGUGGCGAACGGGUGAGUAAUGUAUCGGAACGUACCUUUCAGUGGGGGAUAACGUAGCGAAAGUUACGCUAAUACCGCAUAUUCUGUGAGCAGGAAAGCAGGGGAUCGCAAGACCUUGCGCUGAUUGAGCGGCCGAUAUCAGAUUAGCUAGUUGGUGAGGUAAAGGCCCACCAAGCCAACGAUCUGUAGCUGGUCUGAGAGGACGACCAGCCACACUGGAACUGAGACACGGUCCAGACUCCUACGGGAGGCAGCAGUGGGGAAUUUUGGACAAUGGGCGCAAGCCUGAUCCAGCAAUGCCGCGUGCAGGAUGAAGGCCUUCGGGUUGUAAACUGCUUUUGUACGGAACGAAAAGGCUCUGGUUAAUACCUGGGGCUCAUGACGGUACCGUAAGAAUAAGCACCGGCUAACUACGUG